rfam:Schistosoma margrebowiei strain Zambia genome assembly, scaffold: SMRZ_scaffold0003883
AACUUUUCGGAUUCGUGUUGAGAAUUUGUCAGACACCAGUACAUCAGAUCUGAUAAGAUUUGCAAGAUAAGUGAAGUG